rnacentral:rRNA from 1 species
UCUCGCGUGGUUGCCCAUGGGCGCAGCCUGAUCCAGCCAUGCCGCGUGUGUGAAGAAGGCCUUCGGGUUGUAAAGCACUUUUAUCGGGGAGGAAGGCGUUGGGGUUAAUACCCUGUGGGGCUGACGGUACCUGCAGAAAUAAGCACCGGCUAACUCCGUGCCAGCAGCCGCGGUAAUAA